GGUGCAGUGGUUCAUCACCAAGAUUAAAUAAAGAGCUGACCGACAGGUGGACAGUCAUCCCGACGUGAGAGGAUCCUCUCCACCCGUCCUCCCUGGCGCUCUCUCUCUCUCUCUCUCUCAGAAUGGAAAUGUGAGACGCAGUGAGACGAGGCCGGUGACUACGUUACUCCAACGGGCCAAUCAGAGCGUGGCACAUCUGGAGGAAUCUGUCUGCAGGCCCAGCUGGAAGCACUACAGGAGACAGCAGAGGAGAGGAGAGGAGGAACAUGUGAGAUUCAAGAUGGCUGAGGGAUUAAAUGAAAUAAAAGGACGUUGAAAGGAAUACAUGUUGUUUGUCGUUUAAUUUAGCUGACCUCACCGAAAAAGCACGGCUGAAGGAGCAAUUCGCUUUGAUGGCAUUUAACAUUUAGCUGUGACCAAUGUUGAACUGGGCGAUAGGAGUGACACAG
ensembl:lncRNA